UCUUUGUCGGUUAAGGUUUUGCCCCACGUUUUCUACCUCCUAUGAUUUUAGGCUGCCCAGCAGUUGUCUCGUAUCUCCUCCCCACCCAUAAAACUACCAUCCCACCUCCACAGCCCGGCGACAAUGAGGAGAAUUUGUACGGUUCCAAGAGUUCGAGACGUGAUUUCAUCCACAUAUGAAUUUGGUAACAAAUAGCCUUAUAUUAUGUGUUCAAGAAGCAAAUCCACGACGAAGUUGAAACAGGGAAAGGCAAUUGGGAUAAUUCAAGAACCACUCUACAAAACAUACCCUGCCAUCGCUACAGAAAGGAAGAAGAACACGAGAUUGGGAUUUGGGGGAUUCUAGCCACUACUCUUGCUAUGUUAUCAAGGCAUUGAUUCUCUAUGUUGCCAGAUGUAUAAAUAAUGCAUCAGGAUUCUCGAAAGGAACACUUAGUGGUUGCUCAUAGUUUGUCUUCACAAUUGGCUACACAAGAAGGUCCGCUAUUCUUGCCUGUUUUCAAUUUCCCAAUUAAUAAAAAGUAGACCAAAUUACUUAGUUUGGUGGUAUGAUAUUUGUUAAAUUUUGAUCUUUUAAUAUGUAUUUUGGACCUGUGGUCAGGACAAAAUAAAAUAGGGUCUAUGAUUAAGUUUAACAAGCAUAUGUAUAUGCUUUAAAAGGAUACAUGUGUCAGUGUCAUGGCCAUUCGAUAUUCAGAUAUUACACGGUGAACCUUGAUUCACAUCACAAGAUUCUUACACGUUUAACAACAACUAACUAAGCUAUUAACAUAUUUAUAAUUUGUGGUUCAAUCUGAACAUCUUGAAGAAUUUUAAGAAAAGAGUUAUGCUAUUUCCCUUGGAUAUAUUGGUUUAAAUUAUAUUCUUUCUUUUUUGUCUAACCUUUAGACUUCAAGUUGAAAUUUUGUUUGGUUCUCUAAAGCGAUGUGCAGGAUUCCAGUAAGCCAUAUGAAUUGCUACAUUGAGUAAUUAUGUUUAUCGUUGGUGAUAUAUGAUGAUAUCAACACGGUCCCUAUUCUAAAUAUAUUGUAUAUUAGUAUCUCUACUUGUGAGAUGCAAGUCGCAUGUUCAUUGCUUUCAGAUAUUUUUGCCAUAUGUGGUUAAUACGCUAUCUUUUAAAUGAUGCAUGCUUGAGCAGCAUCCGAAUCUGGAGGGGAUGAUGGAAUAUUGCAGCCCCGUCUACUAAAAGGUUAUAUUUUUGCUUAUGUAUAUUUGGUUUCGUGUUUUAUUUGUUAUAUAUGAUUAUAUGUUAAUGCAUUAAACCUUAAUUGCUUAUGUUUAAGAUCAUACCAGUACUUUUAAAAUAGUAAACCUUAAUUGCUUAUGUUUAAGUUCAUACCAGUACUUUUAAAAGAUACUUAAUUGCUUAUGUUUAAGUUCAUGCUUAAAUUUUAGUUUUAUUUUUGUAGCUUUUUGCUUUGAGAGAUGUUGGGGGAAUUGACAGAUAAUACGACUGUAUAUGUGAGAUUAAAAACCAUGUAAUCACUUUGGAAGGAUCCUCCAUGUUCAGAAGCAUUAAUCGCAUUAAUGAAAUGACAUAAGAUACUUAGGACCCUAAGUUAGUUCACAUUCUUCUUCAAAACGCAUAAAUUGACACACGAGCUGCCAAUAAUCUAGAUUCUAGAAGAAAUUUAAGUUUUUUAAUUUCCUAAGUUGAAAUUCCAAUUGCUUCAGUGAACAGUUGGAUUUGUUUCCGGCUGCAUACAUGUAUUCUUACCUUUUUCGGUCUACUUUUUAGACUUGACUGCCGGUUGGAUUGUCUAUGAUCUCAACCUAGCUUGGUCACCUCGAGUAGCCAUAGUGUCGCUAGCAACUGGAAACAAUUUCCCAUUUGCAUUUUGUUCAUUAGACAAUUCAUAGUUAAAUUGGUUUAAUAGUUUUGUAUGAGUGAGAAGCUUAACAUUAUUUAUAUUGUUUUGCAAGGGAAGAAAAAGUCGGGCACCGACCUUGAAUCUGCCAAUGUGUUUAUGAAUCAAUUAAAGAUGCUAAAUAGAUGAAUGUUGAUAGUUUCAGUUUCAUUACCUGAUUCACCCAUUUGCAACUGGUUCAACUCAGAUUGAGCGUCCGGAUUGGGUACCCAACUUAACCCAAAUACCCAAUACCGUCCACACACCUUAGGUAAAAAAUGUUUUCGAUUUAUAUUUUAAAUUUUUUUAGUAAACUCUAAUUAAAAAAACUACCUAAAUUAUAUAAACUUAUACUACCCAACUUAACCCAAAUACCCAAUACCUUAACCCACUAUUUCAUUAAACAUAAUUAGCCCACUAAUUACUAGCCUAUUAAACAAACCCAACCUAAGUUCAAACUAUAAUAAUUAAAAUAAGCUCAAUAGUCCCUUAGAAUUCCUCCCGCCCUCCCUCUCUUGGGUCGUCUCCUACCAGCGAUCAUCGAACACAACAGCACGUCAUCAGCAGCCGCGAACCACCGCCGUCCGACACCAAAGGGUAACAAAAUUCUUAAAUAUGUUUGAAAUUUCAUGUGUUUUGACGUUGUUUAUGGUUGUUUAGAUGAUUUUUAGGGUGAUUAUGUUGUUUAGAUGAUUUUUAGAGUGAUUACACACGAUUUCUAGGGUU